rnacentral:rRNA from 1 species
GUGAUUCGGGGUGCACCAGGCGCGAAAACUUCGCAAUAAGCGAAAGCUUGACGGGGCCAUCCCGAGUGCCAUCUGCUGAGGAUGGCUUUUACCCAGUAUAGAUAGCUGGGGGAAUAAGGAGAGGGCAAGUCUGGUGUCAGCCGCCGCGGUAAUACCAGCUCUCCGAGUUGUGGGGACGUUUAUUGAGCCUGAAGCAUCCGUAGCCGGCUGUGCAAGUCCUCUGUUAAAUCCAGCGAUGAAUCGUUGGUCUGCGGGGGAUACUGCUCGGCUAGGGGGCGGGAGAGGCCGUCGGUAUUCUUGGGGUAGGGGUGAAAUCCUAUAAUCCCAGGAGGACCACCAGUGGCGAAGGCUGUCGGCUAGAACGCGCUCGACGGUGAGGGAUGAAAGCUGGGGGAGCGAACCGGAUUAGAUACCCGGGUAGUCCCAGCUGUAAACGAUGCAGGCUAGGUGUUAGGGCGGCUACGUGCCGCUCUAGUGCCGCAGGGAAGCUGUUAAGCCUGCCGCUUGGGGAGUACGGCCGCAAGGCUGAAACUUAAAGGAAUUGGCGGGGGAGCACAAUCGAAU